GGAGCAGGCCAGAUGAUCGCCGGACGAGAUCAAGCUCGCCCGGAGGAAAGUCCGAGCUCCACAGGGCAGGGUGCUGGGUAACGCCCAGCGGGGGCAACCCCAGGGAAAGUGCCACAGAGACCAGACCGCCGUGGUUCGCCCACGGUAAGGGUGAAAAGGUGAGGUAAGAGCUCACCAGUGGCGGUGGCGACACCGCCAGCUUGGAAAACCCCACCCGGAGCAAGACCAAAUAGGGGAGCGUUUGAGGGUGGCCCGCCCGAAGCUCCCGGGUAGGUCGCUUAAGGCCUCGGGCAACCGGGGUCUUAGAGGAAUGAUCAUCACCGGGGCAACCCGGCACAGAACUCGGCUUAUGGCCUGCUCCGCGA
rnacentral:RNase_P_RNA from 1 species